rnacentral:rRNA from 1 species
UACGUAGGGUGCGAGCGUUGUCCGGAAUUAUUGGGCGUAAAGGGCUCGUAGGCGGUUUGUCGCGUCGGGAGUGAAAACACUGGGCUUAACUCAGUGCUUGCUUCCGAUACGGGCAGACUAGAGGUAUGCAGGGGAGAACGGAAUUCCUGGUGUAGCGGUGAAAUGCGCAGAUAUCAGGAGGAACACCGGUGGCGAAGGCGGUUCUCUGGGCAUUACCUGACGCUGAGGCACGAAAGCUAGGGGAGCAAACAGG